AAUGAACGCUGGCGGCAUGCCUAACACAUGCAAGUCGAACGAUAACGUCCGUUCGGGUGGCGACGGGUUGCGUAAGGCUGGGUAACAUGCCCUUACGUGCCCGAUCGCUGCCGGAAAGGGGUGCUAAGCUUUGAUAAUAUCGCAUGCCCAAAGAGGUAUCGCCUUUGGAUGGGCCAGGGUUUGAUCAGAUAGUUGGUAGGGUAAAAGCCUACGAAGUCGACGAUCCAUAGCUGGUCUGAGAGGAUGAUCAGCCACACUGGGACUGAGACACGGCCCAGACUCCUACGGGAGGCAGCAGUGGGGAAUAUUGGACAAUGGGCGAAAGCCUGAUCCAGCAAUGCCGCGUGAGUGAUGAAGGCCUUAGGGUUGUAAAGCUCUUUUACCCGGGAUGAUAAUGACAGUACCGGGAGAAUAAGCUCCGGCUAACUCCGUG
rnacentral:rRNA from 1 species